UUAAAUUGAAGAGUUUGAUCAUGGCUCAGAUUGAACGCUGGCGGCAGGCCUAACACAUGCAAGUCGAACGGUAACAGGAAACAGCUUGCUGUUUCGCUGACG
rnacentral:rRNA from 2 species